UACGUAGGGUGCGAGCGUUGCCCGGAUUUAUUGGGCGUAAAGAGCGUGUAGGCGGCCAGGUAGGUCUGCUGUGAAAACUCGAGGCUCAACCUCGAGACGUCGGCGGAAACCAUCUGGCUAGAGUCCGGAAGAGGAGAGUGGAAUUCCUGGUGUAGCGGUGAAAUGCGCAGAUAUCAGGAAGAACACCCGUGGCGAAGGCGGCCUGCUGGGCAGUAGCUGACACUGAGGCGCGACAGCGUGGGGAGCAAACAGG
rnacentral:rRNA from 1 species